rnacentral:rRNA from 1 species
AUGAAGGUGAAGAGUGAUUUUCAGAACAAUGUACCAACGAUUCAUCUAUCUGGAUGCCACCUUUUCUUCCAGAUUUUCUUGUUGGACAACAUUGAUCUUGGGAUUUUCAAUACGAUCUACCUCGUACGACCGCCAGAUUCAGCGUGCUAUUACCGGGUAGCCGUGACGAGACAGUCAUACACUGAUGGUGAUGUAAUGGCAUCUUCAUCCGAGCCAGUAUCUUCAAGGGCGCCUGCGACAGCAUGCGAGCAUACACCGGAUUUGCAUGUCAAUAUGAGGGUGCCACCGUCAGGCUCGCUGGGGGACCCCAUGUCGGCACAUCGUUCGAUGGUGCCAAAGAUCGCUGUAGAUGUUGUGUCAACCGUGGCUUGA